UACGUAGGGCGCAAGCGUUGUCCGGAAUUAUUGGGCGUAAAGAGCUCGUAGGUGGCUUGUCACGCCGGGUGUGAAAGCUUGGGGCUUAACUCCAGGUCUGCAUUCGAUACGGGCUGGCUAGAGGUAGGUAGGGGAGAACGGAAUUCCUGGUGUAGCGGUGAAAUGCGCAGAUAUCAGGAGGAACACCGGUGGCGAAGGCGGUUCUCUGGGCCUUACCUGACGCUGAGGAGCGAAAGCGUGGGGAGCGAACAGG
rnacentral:rRNA from 1 species